GCUGCAGCAAGGCCGCGCAGGAUGCGGAGGGGUGACAACGUCAGUAGCAGCACAGUGCUAUGAAAUAUUGAUGGAGCAGUCAAAGGCACGCUUUGAGAAAGCACAGCACUUGGUGUCAUUGGACUUCAAUGACAGGGUGAUUAACAUGUUUGCAUCCCAGAAAACUCAACGAUGUGAUCUUCUCUUCAAAUAAGAGUUUCUACAUCUAUCCUCCCCUCCACAUAACUCAGACUGUCCUUGAGGCUGCCACAGAGGCACAACAGAAGAUGGCAAAGCAAAGAUGGCCAGAUGAUCAUGCUUCUGGAAGGCUCCACUGGGCCUAAUGCUUUAUGGUUUCCAAAGCACUAAGACCUUUAUAAAGAAGAAGUGUUUCUUGCCUUCUUGUCCAUCCCCUUGCCUGUGACCUGGAAAUCGAUCUCACGACCCCCGUGUUGAAAGUUGUCUCAAUGCCUACAAUGCAUCAGAAGAACAGAGGAGGGAAGAUAGGCUACUAUGG